rnacentral:snRNA from 1 species
GCUCUUGUUUCUCUUCAGACGCAUAAAUCUUUCGCCUUUUUACUAAAGAUUUCCGUGGAGAGGAACAACAAGAGAUUUGACAUUUUUUGGUGCUCUGCUUACAGUGG